ACGGGGGCCCGCACAAGCGGUGGAGCAUGUGGUUAAUUCGAAGCAACGCGAAGAACCUUACCAGGUCUUGACAUCCCGAUGCUAUUUCUAGAGAUAGAAAGUUACUUCGGUACAUCGGUGACAGGUGGUGCAUGGUUGACGUCAGCUCGUGUCGUGAGAUGUUGGGUUAAGUCCCGCAACGAGCGCAACCCCUAUUGUUAGUUGCCAUCAUUCAGUUGGGCACUCUAGCGAGACUGCCGGUAAUAAACCGGAGGAAGUGGGGAUGACGUCAAAUCAUCAUGCCCCUUAUGACCUGGGCUACACACGUGCUACAAUGGUUGGUACAACGAGUUGCGAGUCGGUGACGGCGAGCUAAUCUCUUAAAGCCAAUCUCAGUUCGGAUUGUAGGCUGCAACUCGCCUACAUGAAGUCGGAAUCGCUAGUAAUCGCGGAUCAGCACGCCGCGGUCGAAUACGUUCCCGGGCCUU
rnacentral:rRNA from 1 species